rnacentral:rRNA from 1 species
GUGGGGAAUAUUGCACAAUGGGCGCAAGCCUGAUGCAGCAACGCCGCGUGAGGGAUGACGGCCUUCGGGUUGUAAACCUCUUUUAGUAGGGAAGAAGCGAAAGUGACGGUACCUGCAGAAAAAGCACCGGCUAACUACGUGCCAGCAGCCGCGGUAAUACGUAGGGUGCAAGCGUUGUCCGGAAUUAUUGGGCGUAAAGAGCUCGUAGGCGGCUUGUCGCGUCUGCUGUGAAAUCCCGGGGCUCAACCCCGGGCCUGCAGUGGGUACGGGCAGGCUAGAGUGCGGUAGGGGAGAGUGGAAUUCCUGGUGUAGCGGUGGAAUGCGCAGAUAUCAGGAGGAACACCGAUGGCGAAGGCAGAUCUCUGGGCCGCUACUGACGCUGAGGAGCGAAAGCAUGGGGAGCGAACAGGAUUAGAUACCCCUGUAGUCC